UUAAUAUUCCCGUACUUGGUGUUACUGCGAAGGGGGGACGGAGAAGGCUAUGUUGGCCGGGCGACGGUUGUCCCGGUUUAAGCGUGUAGGUGUGUGUUCCAGGUAAAUCCGGUCCACUUUAACACUGAGGCGUGAUGACGAGGCACUACGGUGCUGAAGCAACAAAUGCCCUGCUUCCAGGAAAAGCCUCUAAGCAUCAGGUAACAUCAAAUCGUACCCCAAACCGACACAGGUGGUCAGGUAGAGAAUACCAAGGCGCUUGAGAGAACUCGGGUGAAGGAACUAGGCAAAAUGGUGCCGUAACUUCGGGAGAAGGCACGCUGACACGUAGGUGAAGUGAUUUACUCACGGAGCUGAAGUCAGUCGAAGAUACCAGCUGGCUGCAACUGUUUAUUAAAAACACAGCACUGUGCAAACACGAAAGUGGACGUAUACGGUGUGACGCCUGCCCGGUGCCGGAAGGUUAAUUGAUGGGGUCAGCGCAAGCGAAGCUCCUGAUCGAAGCCCCGGUAAACGGCGGCCGUAACUAUAACGGUCCUAAGGUAGCGAAAUUCCUUGUCGGGUAAGUUCCGACCUGCACGAAUGGCGUAAUGAUGGCCAGGCUGUCUCCACCCGAGACUCAGUGAAAUUGAACUCGCUGUGAAGAUGCAGUGUACCCGCGGCAAGACGGAAAGACCCCGUGAACCUUUACUAUAGCUUGACACUGAACAUUGAGCCUUGAUGUGUAGGAUAGGUGGGAGGCUUUGAAGCGUGGACGCCAGUCUGCGUGGAGCCGACCUUGAAAUACCACCCUUUAAUGUUUGAUGUUCUAACGUGGACCCGUAAUCCGGGUUGCGGACAGUGUCUGGUGGGUAGUUUGACUGGGGCGGUCUCCUCCUAAAGAGUAACGGAGGAGCACGAAGGUUGGCUAAUCCUGGUCGGACAUCAGGAGGUUAGUGCAAUGGCAUAAGCCAGCUUGACUGCGAGCGUGACGGCGCGAGCAGGUGCGAAAGCAGGUCAUAGUGAUCCGGUGGUUCUGAAUGGAAGGGCCAUCGCUCAACGGAUAAAAGGUACUCCGGGGAUAACAGGCUGAUACCGCCCAAGAGUUCAUAUCGACGGCGGUGUUUGGCACCUCGAUGUCGGCUCAUCACAUCCUGGGGCUGAAGUAGGUCCCAAGGGUAUGGCUGUUCGCCAUUUAAAGUGGUACGCGAGCUGGGUUUAGAACGUCGUGAGACAGUUCGGUCCCUAUCUGCCGUGGGCGCUGGAGAACUGAGGGGGGCUGCUCCUAGUACGAGAGGACCGGAGUGGACGCAUCACUGGUGUUCGGGUUGUCAUGCCAAUGGCACUGCCCGGUAGCUAAAUGCGGAAGAGAUAAGUGCUGAAAGCAUCUAAGCACGAAACUUGCCCCGA
rnacentral:rRNA from 1 species